GAUGAACGCUAGCGACAGGCUUAACACAUGCAAGUCGAGGGGCAGCAUAAAAGUAGCAAUACUUUGGUGGCGACCGGCGCACGGGUGAGUAACGCGUAUGCAACCUACCUAUCAGAGGGGAAUAACCCGGCGAAAGUCGGACUAAUACCGCAUAAAACAGGGGCACCGCAUGGUGAUAUUUGUUAAAGAAAUUCGCUGAUAGAUGGGCGUGCGUUCCAUUAGGUAGUUGGUGAGGUAACGGCUCACCAAGCCGACGAUGGAUAGGGGAACUGAGAGGUGGGUCCCCCAGACUGGUGAUGAGGCACGGACCACACUCCUACGGGAGGCAGCAGUGAGGAAAAUUGGUCAAUGGGCGGGAGCCUGAACCAGCCAAGUCGCGUGAAGGAAGAAGGAUCUAUGGUUCGUAAACUUCUUUUGCAGGGGAAUAAAGUGCAGGACGUGUCCUGUUUUGUAUGUACCCUGAGAAUAAGGAUCGGCUAACUCCGUGCCAGCAGCCGCCGUAACAC
rnacentral:rRNA from 1 species